GUGUUACUGACGCUCAUGCUCGAAGGCGCGGGUAUCGAACAGGAUUAGAUACCCUGGUAGUCCGCGCGGUAAACGAUGGAUGCCCGCUGUGCGCCCCUGAGGGUGCGCGGCCAAGCGAAAGCGUUAAGCAUCCCACCUGGGGAGUACGCCGGCAACGGUGAAACUCAAAGGAAUUGACGGGGGCCCGCACAAGCGGAGGAACAUGUGGUUUAAUUCGAUGAUACGCGAGGAACCUUACCCGGGCUUGAACUGCAGAGGAAGGAUCUGGAGACAGUGACGCCCUUCGGGGUCUCUGCGGAGGUGCUGCAUGGUUGUCGUCAGCUCGUGCCGUGAGGUGUCGGCUUAAGUGCCAUAACGAGCGCAACCCCUCUCCCCGGUUGCCAUCAGGUGAUGCUGGGCACUCCGUGGACACUGCCGCCGCAAGGUGGAGGAAGGUGGGGAUGACGUCAAAUCAGCACGGCCCUUACGUCCGGGGCUACACACGUGUUACAAUGGGGGGCACAGCGUGCCGGCGCUCCGCAAGGUGCGUCCAAUCAUGAAAUCCCCCCUCAGUUCGGACUGGGGUCUGCAACCCGACCCCACGAAGCUGGAUUCGCUAGUA
rnacentral:rRNA from 1 species